rnacentral:lncRNA from 1 species
GGUGCUUGCAUGUCGAAUGACACUCUCGGGCACUCUGGGCUCACUCUGGAAGGCUGAUUCCUUCAUGGUAGAGCUCAUACCACUGCUAGGAGUUCUCUUCACCAAAGCCAGGCAACUGCCAUCUUCCUUGGCUCCACAGUCACAGAAGAACGAUCCGUAUUUGGCAUAAGAAAUCUCAUGAUCCUUGUGACAAACUUUAGCACAAACGGUGCAAACACCAACCCCAUCAACCAUCUUGCAAGUGUGACAGUGAUACCAAUGCUGAUUCAUGAAUUCUUUCUGUGUAAUGGUGAAGGUACAGAGCUUAUUACAAAGAGAAUCUUCAUCCGAAUCUUCAGCUUGAGAGUCCUCCUCUUCCACUGCCAACUCUUCCACCCAAUCUGAAUCCACCUCAAUUGCCCGUUCCUCGCCAUCAACAGAAAGAUGACUUGGUCCUUGUCCACUGGUCUGGCUCAGUGCAUUAGUGACAUCAGCCAGGUAAGAGACAAUAUGGCACGUACACUCCAGGAUAGUAACAUGCUUCCCCUGCAUGACGUUAGCAUUCAUUUUUUCUACGACGUUCUUUUGAGACAGGUAUUUCUUGCAUUUGCCUAGCCAAUCAACAGCAGCACCAUGAAGCUGGAGGUGUCCUGCACCUUGUCCUGCACUAGCCAAAGUCGCCAUCACAACCAUCAGUUCAGGAAAGCCUGUGCCAUCACCGUUGGCCAACAUUUCCGUCGCCAUUGGUAUCAGAGUAC